rnacentral:rRNA from 1 species
GAUGAACGCUGGCGGCGUGCCUAAUACAUGCAAGUCGAGCGAACGGACGAGAAGCUUGCUUCUCUGAUGUUAGCGGCGGACGGGUGAGUAACACGUGGAUAACCUACCUAUAAGACUGGGAUAACUUCGGGAAACCGGAGCUAAUACCGGAUAAUAUUUUGAACCGCAUGGUUCAAAAGUAAAAGACGGUCUUGCUGUCACUUAUAGAUGGAUCCGCGCUGCAUUAGCUAGUUGGUAAGGUAACGGCUUACCAAGGCAACGAUGCAUAGCCGACCUGAGAGGGUGAUCGGCCACACUGGAACUGAGACACGGUCCAGACUCCUACGGGAGGCAGCAGUAGGGAAUCUUCCGCAAUGGGCGAAAGCCUGACGGAGCAACGCCGCGUGAGUGAUGAAGGUCUUCGGAUCGUAAAACUCUGUUAUUAGGGGAGAACAUAUGUGUAAGUAACUGUGCACAUCUUGACGGUACCUAAUCAGAAAGCCACGGCUAACUACGUG